rnacentral:rRNA from 1 species
UGAGGAAUAUUGGUCAAUGGACGCAAGUCUGAACCAGCCAAGCAGCGUGCAGGAUGACGGCCCUAUGGGUUGUAAACUGCUUUUAUAUGGGGAUAAAGUGGGGAACGUGUUCCCUUUUGCAGGUACCAUAUGAAUAAGGACCGGCUAAUUCCGUGCCAGCAGCCGCGGUAAUACGGAAGGUUCGGGCGUUAUCCGGAUUUAUUGGGUUUAAAGGGAGCGUAGGCCGUUUGGUAAGCGUGUUGUGAAAUGUAGGAGCUCAACUUCUAGAUUGCAGCGCGAACUGUCAGACUUGAGUGCGCACAACGUAGGCGGAAUUCAUGGUGUAGCGGUGAAAUGCUUAGAUAUCAUGAAGAACUCCGAUUGCGAAGGCAGCUUACGGGAGCGCAACUGACGCUGAAGCUCGAAGGUGCGGGUAUCGAACAGG